rnacentral:rRNA from 1 species
UACGUAGGUGGCAAGCGUUGUCCGGAAUUAUUGGGCGUAAAGCGCGCGCAGGUGGUUCCUUAAGUCUGAUGUGAAAGCCCACGGCUCAACCGUGGAGGGUCAUUGGAAACUGGGGAACUUGAGUGCAGAAGAGGAAAGUGGAAUUCCAAGUGUAGCGGUGAAAUUCGUAGAUAUCGGGAGGAACACCGGUGGCGAAGGCGGCGAUCUGGGUCGAUACUGACGCUGAGGUGCGAAAGCGUGGGGAGCAAACAGG